CGCACUGCGCACUGCAAGUCGGAGCACUGGAGAGUUAGCAACUCAAACUUUUGCAGCCUCUAUCUACACGUGAGAGUUCUGAACGUGCCACGGGUGUAUGUUCAAGGGUCACGUGCUGUGAGCAGGACUGAAGAGCGGGUUGGCGUGGAGGGGAGAUCACUUGCUGUGUGAUUCCUGCGCGUGUACUUGUCCUGGCACAACGGCUGUGUAGAGAAAUCAAAGUCACUACUGUUGUCUAUACUGAUUGAGCUCUGAUAUGGACUUUGAUGUUGCUGUUGUCUCAGACACUGAAAGGCAGUUUUGUGUUGAGCCAGUGGAAUAGUUAAAUGUGACUGUUUUCACUCAAAAAUAUAAACUUAAAACUGUGCUUUCCUGAAUACAGUUGGUGGAAAAAUGUCAUAUAUAUACACACAUAUGUACAUAUAUACACACACACACACACACA